GAUGAACGCUAGCUACAGGCUUAACACAUGCAAGUCGCGGGGCAGCAUGGGGGUUGCUUGCAAUCCCCGAUGGCGACCGGCGCACGGGUGAGUAACGCGUAUCCAACCUGCCCUUCACCACGGGAUAACCCGGCGAAAGUCGGACUAAUACCGUAUGUUGUCCAUUGACGGCAUCCGAUUUGGACGAAAGGCUUGGCGGUGAGGGAUGGGGAUGCGUCCGAUUAGCCAGACGGCGGGGUAACGGCCCACCGUGGCUACGAUCGGUAGGGGUUCUGAGAGGGAGGUCCCCCACACUGGAACUGAGACACGGUCCAGACUCCUACGGGAGGCAGCAGUGGGGAAUAUUGGUCAAUGGGCGUAAGCCUGAACCAGCCAAGUAGCGUGCAGGAUGACGGCCCUAUGGGUUGUAAACUGCUUUUAUGCGGGGAUAAAGUGGCCCACGUGUGGGCUUUUGCAGGUACCGCAUGAAUAAGGACCGGCUAAUUCCGUG
rnacentral:rRNA from 1 species